rnacentral:rRNA from 1 species
UACGGGGGGGGGCAAGCGUUGUUCGGAAUUACUGGGCGUAAAGGGUGCGUAGGCGGGUUUUUAAGUCAGAGGUGAAAUCCUGGAGCUCAACUCCAGAACUGCCUUUGAUACUGAGAAUCUUGAGUAUGGGAGAGGUGAGUGGAACUGCGAGUGUAGAGGUGAAAUUCGUAGAUAUUCGCAAGAACACCAGUGGCGAAGGCGGCUCACUGGCCCGAUACUGACGCUGAGGCACGAAAGCGUGGGGAGCAAACAGGG